rnacentral:rRNA from 1 species
GACAGAGGGUGCAAACGUUGUUCGGAAUUACUGGGCGUAAAGCGAGUGUAGGCGGUUUGGUAAGUCGGAUGUGAAAGCCCUGGGCUCAACCCAGGAAGUGCAUUCGAUACUGUCAAGCUAGAGUAUCGGAGAGGUUGGUGGAAUUCUCGGUGUAGAGGUGAAAUUCGUAGAUAUCGAGAGGAACACCGGUGGCGAAGGCGGCCAACUGGACGAAUACUGACGCUGAGACUCGAAAGCGUGGGGGAGCAAACAGG